CCUAUAUUUUUUAAUAUAAUUUCCAUAUAAGCUGUCCUUAAACUAAAUUAUUGUAAAAUUUGAGCGAGUUCUGUAAUAAAUUUCCUUUUUUUAUUUCGAUAUUAACUUUAUUUCUCCUAUUACUUCAACAGAAAAAAAACACCUUUACAAAAAUGUAUGUUUCUUUCGAAGGCAGAUUGUGAGCGAAAAUGAACGGUGACCCCACUUUUUUAUUUAAUUUUUCUAUUAACUAUAAGAUAAAGUUCAUUUAUAGAAAAAUAUAGAGAAAUCCUAUAUAAAUGAUUUAGACCCGCGAACCCCCUUAAUUGUUUUAUAAUGAACCAGAAUUUUUUUUAGCAAAGGUCAAAAUCUAGAACAUCAUAUUGACCUUUGACCUUGACCUCAAUUUUGAGGUCAUAGGUCAGUGAUCUCAAAUCAAAAGACCCCAGGUCAAUCACUUGUAUGGUUGUGGAGAAAUACUGAUUUCAAAUACAAAAGGGAGAAAACUCCUAUAAGGGUUAACCAAAACUCUUCGACUUAAUAGGUUGACGUUGCGCCUUUUUGUAAACAGUUAUUUGGCAAAC
rnacentral:lncRNA from 1 species